UAUCCGGAUUUAUUGGGUUUAAAGGGUGCGUAGGCGGUUUGAUAAGUUAGAGGUGAAAUUUCGGGGCUCAACCCUGAACGUGCCUCUAAUACUGUUGAGCUAGAGAGUAGUUGCGGUAGGCGGAAUGUAUGGUGUAGCGGUGAAAUGCUUAGAGAUCAUACAGAACACCGAUUGCGAAGGCAGCUUACCAAACUAUAUCUGACGUUGAGGCACGAAAGCGUGGGGAGCAAACAGGAUUAGAUACCCUGGUAGUCCACGCAGUAAACGAUGAUAACUCGUUGUCGGCGAUACACAGUCGGUGACUAAGCGAAAGCGAUAAGUUAUCCACCUGGGGAGUACGUUCGCAAGAAUGAAACUCAAAGGAAUUGACGGGGGCCCGCACAAGCGGAGGAACAUGUGGUUUAAUUCGAUGAUACGCGAGGAACCUUACCCGGGCUUGAAAGUUAGCGACGAUUCUUGAAAGAGGAUUUCCCUUCGGGGCGCGAAACUAGGUGCUGCAUGGUUGUCGUCAGCUCGUGCCGUGAGGUGUCGGGUUAAGUCCCAUAACGAGCGCAACCCCUACCGUUAGUUGCCAUCAGGUGAAGCUGGGCACUCUGGCGGGACUGCCGGUGUAAGCCGAGAGGAAGGUGGGGAUGACGUCAAAUCAGCACGGCCCUUACGUCCGGGGCUACACACGUGUUACAAUGGUAGGUACAGAGGGCAGCUACCCAGCGAUGGGAUGCGAAUCUCGAAAGCCUAUCUCAGUUCGGAUUGGAGGCUGAAACCCGCCUCCAUGAAGUUGGAUUCGCUAGUAAUCGCGCAUCAGCCAUG
rnacentral:rRNA from 1 species